rnacentral:snRNA from 1 species
AUACUUACCUAAUAGAGGAAAUACCAUGAUCAAGAAGGUGGUUUUCCCAGGGGGAGACGUAUCCAUUGAAACUGGCAUUUGUUGAUUUCCCCUAAAUGUGGGGACUGUGGUAGUGGAGGGCUAUGUCCAUGCCGUCCC